AGGCGGGUCAAAUCGGCAAAAACGAGCUAGCCUCUCAGUCAUUCGCUUUUGCUCUGUCUCUGACAUCUGCCCAACUAAUCGUGAUGCCUCUCCAGUAGGAGCAGCUGGUGCAGUGGGGGCUGUCACUAGUGGGGGUGCAUGUCACGCCCCGCGACCCGCCAAUUUGGUCAGAUCCGGGCACAUCGAUCAGACGCGGAACGGACAGCACCUCCCCUGUCCGCCCAAGGCUAGAACUACAAGAUCAUGUACAAGAAUUGCCCAGGAAAAUUCAUUCAACAUACAUGAUCAAUACGAAGCACCACAAGUGCUAUACAAUUAAGAGCAAGAAUCACAAGUAUCAUACAAGUGAAAUAAAGAGAGAUACAUCUAGCUAUUACAUCACAUUUAACCUUUACAUAUUGAUUUACAUUUUCAUCUUCCAAAAUGAAUGCAUAUUCUUCUCAUAAUACAAAAUGGCUCUCCAAAUACAUAAGUAACUCUCAAAUACAUCAUAUCUCUACGUACACGAGGGUACUCUAAUGCAUAAGAAAGCUACUAGCUACUAGGGCGCUAUACCCUUACCACGGUCUUUUGCCGGUACGCUCUUGCUAGGCCCUGCAACAAAGUGGGGUGAGAACUAAAU
rnacentral:lncRNA from 1 species